rnacentral:rRNA from 1 species
AAUAGAUACCCAGGUAGUCCACGCCCUAAACGAUGCUCACUAGGUGUUGGGGAAGCGAUUCCUUGGUACCGUAGCUAACGCGUGAAGUGAGCCGCCUGGGGAGUACGGCCGCAAGGUUAAAACUCAAAGGAAUUGACGGGGACCCGCACAAGCGGUGGAUGAUGUGGAUUAAUUCGAUGCAACGCGAACAACCUUACCUACCCUUGACAUGUCCGGAAGCCUGCUGAAAGGCGGGGGUGCUCGAAAGAGAACCGGAACACAGGUGCUGCAUGGCUGUCGUCAGCUCGUGUCGUGAGAUGUUGGGUUAAGUCCCGCAACGAGCGCAACCCUUGUCCCUAGUUGCUACGCAAGGGCACUCUAGGGAGACUGCCGGUGACAAACCGGAGGAAGGUGGGGAUGACGUCAAGUCCUCAUGGCCCUUAUGGGUAGGGCUUCACACGUCAUACAAUGGACGGUACAGAGGGUUGCCAACCCGCGAGGGGGAGCCAAUCCCAGAAAGCCGUUCGUAGUCCGGAUCGCAGUCUGCAACUCGACUGCGUG